rnacentral:rRNA from 1 species
AUUCUAGGUGGAGUUAUGAUUAUGACAUUGUCUAUCUAUGUGUCUUGACCAAAUUACGUGCCAGCUGUCGCGGUAAUACGUAAAAGACUAGUGUUAUUCAUCUUUAAUAGGUUUAAAGAGUACCAAGACGGUUAAUAAAGCCCCUAUAGGGUACACAUUAACUAGAGUUAUAUGAAAGGGGGCUAUUAGGUACUGUUGAGUGUAGAGAUGAAAUUCUGUCAUACCAGAUGAGUGGCACGGGUCUAUGCGAAGGCAUCUCCUUAUGUAAUAACUGACGUUGUAGGACGAAGGCUCCUGAAGUGAACAGGAUUAGAUACCCCAGUAAUCUGAGCAGAAAAUGAUGAAUGUCAUAGGUUAAAUAUAAUUUGGUCUAUAAAUGAAAGUGUAAGCAUUCCACCUCAAGAGUAAUUUGGCAACAUUGGAACUGAAAUCAUUAGACCGUUUCUGAAACCAGUAGUGAAGUAUGUUGUUUAAUUUGAUGAUCCGCAAAAAACCUUACCACAAUUUGAAUAAAUAUAUUUAAAUAUUUACAAGCGUUGCACGGCUGUCUUCAGUUAAUGUCGUGAGAUUUUGGUUAGUUCCAUUAAAUUAACGUAAACCCUUACUUUAUUUAGAUAUAAAG